GGGCGGAGGCAGAGACAGAGGCGCUUUGAAAGAUCCUUUUCUGUGGGUACACAGCCCUUCUACGGCUCACGCCUGGUUUUGGUGAAGCUGUAUCAAAGGUUCCUGUUUUCUAGCAACAGCUGUCCCUCCAUUUUGGAGGCCUGAGCACCCACUUCCUGUAUCUGGGGAAUGAGCCCCACCACCAGAGAGCCAGAAGCUUAAGUGAAAAAUGGUACAUGUUAGAAGACAUGAAACAAGAAAAAAUUCUAAAACCCAAGCACCUGAGCAAAAAUCUCGAGUUGAUUGGCGCCGGACUAAAAGAAGUAUCUCACAGUUAUUUGAUAGUGAUGAAGAGCUUGAUAGUAAUGAGGAACUUGACAGCGAUGAAGAGCAUGAUAGUGGGGAAAGUACUGACAGCGAUGAAGAGCUUGAUAUUAGCAAAAAGUCUGGUAUUAAUGAACUACCAGAAAAGGAAACAGACCUUAAAUUAACCAACAUUGAAAGUCAGGGAAGCAACAGUAAACAUCUUAACACCAGUAGUAGUUCAGCAGAUGAAGAAAAAAUGAAGAAAACCAAACAUAUUGACUUACCAGAUGAUGAAGCUCACCCAGGUCAAACAGAGGGUCAUCACAACAGACACACUGGGCAAAUCCUAGAGGAGGAUAUGGAAGAUGAAUACAUCAAGCCAGGAAAAAGAAAACGGCUGUCCUCUGUAAUGUAUGACAGUGAUGAGAGCGAUGACAGUGAUAUCCUAGUUAGAAAAGCAAGUGCUAAACACCCACGCAGGGUGGUGGAGGAUGAAUGUUCUUCACUGGAAAUGGAGCAAGAGACUCCUGAGAAAUCAUCAGCUGCUCGAAAGCGAGAGUACCACCAGAAGCUACAGGAACUCUCCGAAAGACAGAGGCGCAAUAGUGGUAGAAGUUUUGAGGACUCUGAAAAGGACUCUUGUUCAAGCACUGAUGAUGAGGAUGAAGAUGAGGAUGAGGAUGAGGAUGAUUACACAGAUGAUGAAAAUGGAGAUGAUUACAUGAAUGAUGAUUUUGUAGUGCCAGAUGAGGAAGGCGACGAAGAGAAUAAAAAUCAACAAGGAGAAAAUCUGACUACAUCACAACUGAAAUUAGUAAAACAGAAUUCUCUUUGGAAAGUGAACACAAAGACUGGAAGAGACAGCCUGAGACUCCUCCUCCAACACUUAGCUACAUGACCUUAGGAAAACUUCCAUCAUCUUUCAGUUACGCCAGCUAAAAAUAAACUAAGGGAAGUAUCUCUUCUAUUAGCCGUUUAGAAAUAAGGCAGAGCACAUAAGUGUUUUGAGUGAUGCCUGGUAUUUACUUCCUCAGCUGUGUUAUUUUUUUCAGUUGGAGAUACCAGAACAUUAUUCCAGCACUGCCCACCCAUUCACUCAAGUACAGUGAAACCAGAACCUUCUUUCUAGAGGGAGUCUUAUGAGCAUGGCUAGGAGAAAGAUAGUGUAGCUAGGAAAUAAAACACCCAGGAAAUGGUGGACCUCUGUUCUUGCCUUUCCUCUUAUCCUUUCCAGAGCCUUUGAAAUGUUGCUGCAGCUCUUAAAAUUUCAUGGCCAAUGAAUAACACUGGCCAUUAGCACUUUCAAGAUUAGCAUGUUCAGUGAGGGACAGAAAGCUCCAUUUCAUUUGCCUGAUGAAUAAACAUAGUCCCAAAGUGGGUGAGUUCAACAUUUUUCCAACAUGCCUGUUAAUAAUCCACAGAAGAGCUUUCCCUUAAUAUAAUUUGAAAGAGUUAGAAGGAGUUUGGAUGAAUUUAACUCAAAAUUAUUUACCUAGUCUAGUCAAGAGGGGAAAUUCUUUUGAAGUAUUACUGAAUUUUACUUUGUUAGAAGCUACUGAUGUGUGUGUGUGUGUGUGUGUGUAUACAGCCUUCCUCUUGGAAUUUUCAAUGGUGAUAGACCCUCUAAAGUCUAAGACCCAGUCCAAAGUACUUUAGCAGCUCCAUGGAAGUAGAGACUUGAAAUUUCCCUGAAGGCCUCAAAAAACCUUACAUAGUCCUAUCAGCAAACAGAAGUGCAACAGCCUCUCCAUAUUCAAUCCAUUUUGUCAGCUGGAAGAAAAACCCCAAUAUGUUCAUGAUUUCUAAAGGUAUAACCUACUUUUUUAUUCAGGCCCUAGCUAAACAUCUUCCACAUUUCCAGACAUAGUUCACAGGCAUCUCCAGCAGGGAGAGUGUUCUUUGAUGACCAUUUGAAUCAUGGGCGGAAGAAUUUUCUAGAGAACAUUUCCAUGGCCCAUAGUAAAGUCUAGCACCAGAGUAACAGGAACAGCAGUGCUGCCUGACCUGUCACCAUGAUGAACUCAUGUCUGAGGCUGGGUUACAGAGGAUAUAAUGGCAUUAUAUGCAUAGCAUGGGAAGGAGAAGGCGUAGCUCUUAAAGCAGUGUGGAAAAUCCUGCAUCUGUGACAGGGUGAAGGAGAAUAGGGUUGUCAUGCCCACUGAGGUUUCUGUGAGUAGCAGUUUCCUGGACCAUGUCAUAUAUAUCAUAGACUAAAGCAUAUUAAACAGUCCACUUGGGAAGCUCUCUUGCCUUUUUCAUUCACUGUAGUAGAUAAUUAAUUUCAAGUGGACAUGGAUUAUUUUGAUUUUUCACAGUGUAUCUCUCUGUUGUCUGAAGAAUUUUCCCUUGAUAAGUCUGGGACCAUUUUAGAUUCAGGAUGAGUGAACUUUGUGAAACUUGUACCAGUUUCUUAGCAGGGAGCCUGUUGUAGUCACUGUACAGUGCUAUUUGGUAUGUCCUAAUAAUUGCUUUAAAUUAAUUUCAGAUUCUUUUAGUGACCAUUAUACUCACUUUGAAAUAGUUGUGAAGGCUCUUCUGAUCAAUGCUUUUGAUGGAUCUUUUCUGGAAAGUUUGUAUGAUGGCACCAGGAAGAAAUCCUAUGCACAAG